AUUGGCCAUUGUCUCCUAGGUUUCUUAUAGUCUAGAAUAAAUCAUUUUUCAUUACAUUGACUUUUGACAGGCUGGACCAGAUGUCCUACCCUUUUGGAAUUGUCUAGUUAUUUAUUUGUAGUAUGACAUUUCUUUAUUUUAUUCCUGUAUGUACAUCAAACUUGAAGUUAGAUCUAAAGUGUCAGUCAAUUUAAGUGAAACAUUUUAUAUCUUAGGUAAUGUAUACUUCAUGUUGCAUCUUAUUAGAUGUUUUUAAAGCUUUAUAUAUAUAUAUAAGUUGAAUCUUGUUGACUUUCUCAAAAUCCUGAGGAAUCUGCAGUGCAUCAACAUCUCCACAGUAGGUACCAUAAAUGGUUAACAGUUUCUGUAAGGCAACUUUGCACUAGCCUAUUUUGAGCAUAGAACACAACUUUGAAGAUUAAAUCCCAUCCAGGGACUGAUUGGUAGAAGACAACUAGUCAGGGAACAUAGGAGGGAAAUACUUAAUUGCCAUAAAGUGGGUAGAUACCAGUCCACAAAUAAUUCUAAAUUAACUACGAAUAUGCUGUUUCAUGUUUGUAGACUCAUAGAUGUUUUGUGUUAUUAGUGGCUGUUCUGGAUUAUAAACUCCCAUGAGAGGUUAUUUUAAAAUCAGAAUUUUUAAUUUUUAAUAUUUAUCACUACUGCUUAUAUCCUCACUUUAACCUACCUAAUGCUGUUUCACUCAAAUGUCUUUUCUUUCUUCCCUGUAACAGUUGUGCAGAAGAUUCUGACCUUAUUUGAGGCUUACAUAUAGGUUUGGAGAUGUGGAAAGGAGUGGAAAAAGAAAUAUGUAAGCUGAAGUGCCAAACUCACACUGAAAUAAAGGGCAUGGCCUACCAGCUGACAAGGAGUGUCUGGUUUCAAGAUGGCAAAUGACCCUAAACAUGAUAGACAAAUACGUUUUACAUAGGUACAUGCACAGAUAGGCACAUAUAAAUCCACAUUUGCAAGCAAAAAGUGGAACCUGUAAAGCAGAAUUUCUGAGGAAUCUCUAAAAGACUAAUACUAUAUGGAAUUUGAAGAGGAAACCCAGAGCAGAAGCACAUAGUGAAGUACUGCCACAAAGAUGUGUGACGCCACUAAAGGUGCUCUAGACCCACAAGAAAGGAAAACUGGGAGCAGGACAACUAUCUGGAUAUUGACUGCACAUGCCAAUAUCUCAGUCAGACUAACAGAAUCAGAGCUUUAGGCAGAGAAAUGAAUGGUUGGAGAGAGAAGGCAAUGCCCAGGUGCCCUGCUUUGAAAUGUCCCGCCCAUCCCCAAAUUAGUCUGAAAAUUUCAAAUGUUGUAUAAAUUCCCUUCCCAUCAAAAGUGUCCCAUAAACAGCAGUGGUAGAAGAGUUUUAACUGAGUAUCACAGCUUCAAUGAUGAGUAUAGAAAACUCCAAAAAUCUGAAUACCAACACAAUCAAAAAAGAGGUACAAACCACAAGUGGAAGAACCAUCUCAAGAAAUAAUGAAGCAUUCAUGGAAUACAGAUUAGCAACUCUUUAAAACAGUAUUGCCAAGAGAAACAGAUGGCAUUGCAGUUGUCAGAUCUCAUUAAGGUCUUAUAUCUGAAACAGUUCCACUGUCUUCCAUAACUUUCAUAACUUUGAACAUUUUGGCUCAUAGGCGAAAGGGAAUUGCCUUAUUUCGAAUGAGACUUUGGACUGUGGACUUCUGAGUUGAUGCUGAAAUGAGUUAAGACUUUGGGGGACUGCUGGGAAGGCAUGAUUGGUUUUGAAAUGUGAGGACGUGAGAUUUGGGAGGGGUUGGGGUGGAAUGAUAUGGUUUGGCUGUGUCCUCACUCAAAUCUCAUCUUGAAUUCCCACAUGUUGUGGGAGGGAUCGGUGGGAGGUAAUUGACUCACGGGGCCAAGUCUUGCUGUUCUUGUGAUAGUGAAUAAGUCUCACAAGAUCUGAUGGUUUUAAAAAGAGGAGUUCCCCUGCACAAGUUCUCUCUCUUUGCCUACUGCCAUCUACGUUAAGACAUGACUUGCUCCUCCUUGCCUUCCACCAUGAUUGCAAGGUAUCCCCAGCCAUGUAGAACUGUAAGUCCAUUAAAUCCUUUUUCCUGUAUAAAUUACCCAGUUUCAGGUAUGUCUUUAUCAGCAGCAUGAAUAUGGACUAAUACAGAAAUUAAAAUGAUGCCUGACACAUAAUUGCUUAAUAAAUAUUAGCUAUUAUUAUUUGACAUU
rnacentral:lncRNA from 1 species